CCCCUCUCAGGGUCGCACCUGGAGAGUUUCCAGUAGUCUACCAGUCUCAGCAAUGGGAGGGAGAGUCAAGCAGAGGCCUGUCCAUUCCAUUCCUAGCUUGGCCAGUGGCUAGCCAGUGGAAGGCCACCUGCUACUAGU